CUUUUGAGAUUUAAUCCUUUUGAAGCUCUUCGCAACUCUCACUUGGUCGCCCACUGAAGCUAAGCAGGGCUGCGCCUGGUCAGUAGCUGGAUGGGAGACCACAUGGCAAAGCAGGGUUGCUGAAGA
rnacentral:rRNA from 1 species